rnacentral:pre_miRNA from 1 species
GCUUCUUGCUUUGCUUGACUAUGGAAUUUGAUAAAUAAACACAAAAUAUUAAACGCAGCCGUUUUCUGGUGGGCCAAAGUUUCCCUUUUUCGUUUAAUUUUUGUGUUAUUUAUCAAAUUCCAUUGUCAAGCAAAAAAGACAACCU